rnacentral:rRNA from 1 species
CCUACGGGAGGCAGCAGUGGGGAAUAUUGGACAAUGGGCGAAAGCCUGAUCCAGCAAUGCCGCGUGAGUGAUGAAGGCCUUCGGGUCGUAAAGCUCUUUUACCAGGGAUGAUAAUGACAGUACCUGGAGAAUAAGCUCCGGCUAACUCCGUGCCAGCAGCCGCGGUAAUACGGAGGGAGCUAGCGUUGUUCGGAAUUACUGGGCGUAAAGAGUACGUAGGCGGUUAUUCAAGUCAGAGGUGAAAGCCCGGGGCUCAACCCCGGAACUGCCUUUGAAACUAGAUAACUAGAGUCUUGGAGAGGUUAGUGGAAUUCCGAGUGUAGAGGUGAAAUUCGUAGAUAUUCGGAAGAACACCAGUGGCGAAGGCGACUAACUGGACAAGUACUGACGCUGAGGUACGAAAGCGUGGGGAGCAAACAGGAUUAGAUACCCUGGUAGUCCACGCCGUAAACGAUGAUAACUAGUUGUUCGGUCACUUGGUGACUGAGUGACGCAGCUAACGCAUUAAGUUAUCCGCCUGGGGAGUACGGUCGCAAGAUUAAAACUUAAAUGAAUUGACGGUNAGAGNGCGACGACGACGACGACGGAGGAG